ACGGACACCGCGCUUCCCUCCGCCGGCAGCCGCUCGCCUGGACGGCCCUUCUCCCUCCGAAUAGGUAAUCGCUGGGGUGAAUUACUUCAAUCAGUGCUAGAAUAAUCUACGUCCUUAGACUUUCUAAAACUGACACUUGGGAAAUGAAGACACUCGGUAUUCUUACAACAUACUCAGGAGCAGAACAAGAUUUCCCCUGACUGAUCCUCAAAGAAUGCAUCCAGAGGAGCAACAUCAGGGGUUUGUUGGUCACCAGCUUGUUGGGUACAGCCCUGUCUAGGGGACAACGAGUGGAAAUUCUUGGUGGAGCCAGGGGGCAAGUACUUAAUGCUGUAUUUUCUUUUCAAGAUAUGCUGUAAAAUAGUAUUAAAGAACAUCAUUCAGAGAAGCUUUUGUUUUGUGAUAAACUUUUAGAACUAGAAUGGCUUUGAAAAUAAUGCCUAAAAUAUUCAAGAAAUUAUUUUUUCACUGGAAACUUUGGAAAUUUAGCAUUAUUGUGUUUGUCUUUAUAGUAUUUUUGUUUUUACUGCAACGAGAAGUUGGUGUCCAAGAUUUUAGAGAUGAAGGAGGGAUUGAGCCAGUUGUCAGAAAGAAGAGUAAUGUAUUAGGUCUUGUGCUAAAUGCUAUGAACAAUGUCAAUGGUGCAAAGCCAAAAAUGCAGAUAAAAGCACCUGUAAGGCAAACUAAGGUUCCUGGAGACAGACACUGUUUGCCAGGACACUACACUGCGAUGGAACUGAAACCCUUUCUAGAUCGACCUCUUCAAGAUCCUAACGCUCCUGGAGCUUCUGGUAAAGCAUUUAAAACCAUCAACCUAAAUCCAGAAGAGCAGAAAGAAAAAGAGCGUGGAGAAGAAAAACACUGUUUCAAUGCGUUUGCAAGUGAUAGGAUUUCGUUACACCGGGAUCUUGGACCGGACACUCGACCCCCUGAAUGCAUUGAACAAAAGUUCAAGCGUUGCCCACCGUUGCCAACCACAAGUGUUAUAAUAGUUUUUCAUAAUGAAGCAUGGUCCACUCUGCUCAGAACUGUUCACAGCGUGAUGUACACUUCUCCUGCCAUACUGCUAAAGGAAAUUAUUUUGGUGGAUGAUGCCAGUGUUGAUGAAUACUUGCAUGAUAAACUUGAUGAGUACGUGAAGCAAUUUCAGAUUGUUAAAGUAGUCCGUCAAAAGGAAAGGAAAGGUCUAAUCACUGCACGAUUGUUGGGAGCUUCAGUAGCAACAGGAGAGACCCUCACCUUUCUGGAUGCUCACUGUGAAUGCUUCUAUGGCUGGUUAGAACCAUUGUUGGCAAGGAUAGCUGAGAACUCUGUUGCUGUUGUAAGCCCUGAUAUUGCAUCUAUAGAUCUCAAUACUUUUGAAUUUAGUAAACCAUCUCCUUAUGGGCAUAACCACAAUAGAGGAAAUUUUGACUGGAGUUUGUCAUUUGGAUGGGAGUCUCUUCCUAAAUAUGAAAAUAAAAGAAGAAAAGAUGAAACCUAUCCAAUCAGAACACCUACUUUUGCUGGAGGUCUCUUUUCAAUAUCAAAGAAGUAUUUUGAACACAUUGGAAGUUAUGAUGAUGAAAUGGAAAUAUGGGGAGGUGAAAAUAUAGAAAUGUCUUUCAGAGUAUGGCAAUGUGGUGGACAGUUGGAGAUCAUGCCUUGCUCUGUUGUUGGCCAUGUCUUUCGCAGCAAGAGUCCCCAUACUUUCCCAAAAGGUACUCAAGUAAUCACACGUAAUCAAGUCCGCCUCGCAGAAGUCUGGAUGGAUGAAUAUAAAGAAAUUUUUUACCGAAGAAACACAGAGGCAGCAAAAAUUGUGAAACAAAAAACAUUUGGAGACAUCUCAAAACGACUCGACUUAAGGCAACGUUUGCAGUGUAAAAAUUUUACCUGGUAUCUGAAUAAUGUUUAUCCAGAAGUAUAUGUUCCAGACCUAAAUCCUUUGUUUUCUGGAUAUCUAAAAAAUGUAGGUAACCACAUGUGUCUGGAUGUUGGUGAAAACAACCAUGGUGGUAAACCAUUGAUUAUGUAUUCUUGUCAUGGACUUGGAGGAAAUCAGUACUUUGAGUAUUCUGCACACCAUGAAAUUCGUCAUAACAUUCAGAAGGAGCUUUGUCUGCAUGCUUCUAAAGGACCUGUGCAGCUUCGUGAAUGUAGCUACAAAGGCCAGAAAAUCUUUGCCUUUGGAGAAGAGCAAUGGCAGCAUCAAAAGGGGUCAGAAGCAGAUGUUCUCAUUGGUGUAAUUUAUUACAUCGACAUCUUUCUCAAGAAAGGAGCUGCAGCUGUUGAAGAAGGCUUGAUUUCAGGCACAGACAACUCAGGCUUACUCCUGGCAGGAUGAAGCAGAUUCUAGAUGUGCUUUGAGGGCGGGUGGCUCAAGGUAGCUCCUGCUCUCCCACCAACAAGAGACCCUGCCGACCUGAUUCUUUGUGACUGCCUGGACACAGCACUAUUACCUGCACUGGGACUUCACUAGCUCAGCAUACCCUUAGGAGUAUCUGCCAGUCUACGUAAAUGCUGUGCCAUAUGAAACAUGACACCCUUCCUCUGGAUCUACAGGCAUCAGGAGAUAAGAGGAUCCCCUUCAACGUCUGCAGCCCAUGGGGACACUUAAGAUUCAAGAAGGAAGGAAGAAAAAAAAUGAGAAGACUAAGACUGGAAAACGUUGAGAUAUUUCAUGAAUCAGAUGUUCUUAUUGAGGAAGAAGAGACAGCAAAAAGGAAGCAAUUACGAAGCACUUGAACAUUUGUUCCUUCGGACAUCUUUACAGCUAAACACCACUUAUUUAUCACUUCAUAAGCUCAGAGUGAGGGUACCUACUAUGCCAUAGGAGUAGCCCUGGCAAGGAGUUUCAACUGACAGAACUCAACUAGCAAAAGAAGAUAAGUGGAGGAAUAAGACUGCCUGUAGCUGGUGUCAUUGGCAAACUAAAAUCUUGCUGCUCAACAGUGAGAGACAAGUAAAUGCAUAGAAAAGUUCAGAGCAUCUUCAAUCAGCUAUCUGAUGGUGGUGGGGAGCAAUUUCCCUCAGUACAAGCAACUCAGGCUGAACAUCCAGAUGGUAGCCUUAAUCAUUUUUAUUCUUCAUUUUCUGUUACCUCGAUACUACUAAAUAGCUUCUAUUAUGUUGCUUUGGUCUUCUUUUUGCAUUUAAUAGAAAAAUGACUUACUUCUAAUUUCUCCAUUUUCAGAUAUACACAGUUCAAACAAGCCCUUAAGCAGAUCACUGUUAUUUAAUAGUUUGUCAUGAUUUGCAUUUGAAACUAUGGAAGAUUUCUAAUUCCUGCUUUGGUAAUUAUUUUUGUCAUGAUCAUCAGCUCUUACUGAUGAGGUAAAUACUUUAACCGCUCAGCUUACAAAAGGCACCUACACAACCAUGCCCAGCCUGUCGCAUAUUUCUCCCCUUCCUGCAAAGCUUAAUAGCUUAUAGCUUUGCUAAGUAGUGAUUGAGCAUUAAGGAGUGAAUUCUAGUCAGGUGCUGUAGGCGUCCUGCAGACUGCAAAGUCACAGGCAUCAAGUGAGAUUAGACAGCAAACUGUAAUUUCAAAGAACCUCAGCUCCUUUUCACUCCCUUGCUGGAUGACUCCCUUGUAUUCUCUGAUUUUUUUUCUCCAUUUUGUGACGCAAAGAACAAAUGAAGUAAUGAAACUGAAAGCUUUGAACAUUUCUCAAACAAUUAACUGGUUAAGAUGGAAGAUUAUUAAGAACCAUCAAAUAUAUUUUUCUAUUCAAAACCUCAGGACAGCAUUGUGUUUUCUUGUUGUUGUAACACAUCCGAACAUAUGCAGAUGGGUAACAUUUUCUUCAUAAAGUUAAAGGUUAAUUCAUAACAACAGGCUAUAGCUGAUGAACACAUGAAGAGUUUGCAUGAAAAUCCCUUCAACUUCGUAAAAGGUGACAAAUUUGGGUUGGAUACCUUUGCCUGUCCAAGCUGGAAGUUCUCUUUUACAUUUCACACAAAAGAAACCAACACGGAUAAUAGAUUUUUAGUUUCUCCUACAGUUCACUGUAGAAAAAUUGAACUGUUAUAAUUUCAUAUCAUACCACUACUGGCCUCCAUUUGUACUGUCCAGCUACAUGAAUCGAGUAAGCUAAAGAUUUCUGCAAGCUCCUAGACAGAACUGGAAAACUGAAAACUGAAUAUUCUGCCUUAAUACUAAAACAAAUUUACCAAUUAUUGAUAAUUUCAUGACCAGCUUGCAUGAAUUCAGUUAAGUCACAUAUUCAUCUAAUGCAGUUAAUGCACUGCGAGUUUCCUUUCUUUGAAAUUGUUAAGCAUAUAUGCAUGUGAAAACAUGCACCAUCAUCACAUUUAGGUUUCAUAAGAUUACCUAGCUUAUAGAAAAUCGCAAAAUAGCAGAUUUCUCAUAGCAACUACCUAACAUUUUACCAUUCCUCAGUGAUACUUCUCAGGCACAUUCCCUAACACCCGACAGAUGGAAAUAGGACUAGAACAUUAUUUACAAAAGACAAACCCACAUCCUUUUCCAUUUGCAUUUGUCUUGUUUUCAAAAUAAGUACAAUCUGUGCUGAUUUAUCCAUUGGUCUGCUGACUCAGGGGCUUCAACAUCACUCGGGGUCGUGCAAAUCAUUUUAAAAUACCUGAAUCUGAAGAGACUUUAUAAAUAAGCAAUAAAGAGUACUGUCGCUAACCUGUUGUGUUAACUCAUACCGUUUCUCAAAUGACAGUGCAUUUAAAGUAAAGCCUACCUUGUACCUUUCAUCUCAACAAGAUGGCUUUUAUGCUCAUAUUGCCAUUAAAACUUUCACACUCGGCUGCUAACAGUGUUUAUGCCACUGUCAGCAGUGCUUACAUCAAAGAGCUGCUUUACAUGACUACUAUAGUGAUUUCAAGAUGACUGUAGUCUUUAUCAUCUGCUUUUAAUCAACUGAAAUUUCUUAUUUGGCUCCUCACUUUUAGCAAGUAAAAAUAAUGAACAGUACCUAACAUUACAAACACACAAUUCCAAAAUAUUCAUAUUUCUUUUUUCUUUCUUUAAACAAGUUGUACAAAAGACAGUGUGUUCUACCUUGCAUAUUUUAAUCCAAUGGGAAAAAUUAAUCAGGGAAGCUGAAAUUUAAGAACAGAACCACAGAAAAUACUACUUUCUGUUUGCACAAUCAUUCUAAUCAGUCCUUCAAUCAGUCUAAUCAAUCAGAACAACUUUGCCUUCCUUCAGUUUCUUAUUUUCUUCAUUUUUCUGUGCAGAUAUGCAGUACUUUAUACCCAACCACUGAUUGAUCACCUUAGAAAUCUACAGCCUUUCCUUUCUGCAUUUAUUUAGAAACCAAGUGAACAGCAAAACAGUUCUUCCUGGAAGUCAGCCAAGGGAUCUGCUCAGAGACACAGCUCACUUCCCACCUGAUGCUUUGAAGAUCCUGUGACGUCUAGAGCUAUAAUCUCUAAAUAGCAAUAAAUCAUUAACUCCAGCCUUUUUUUUUCCAGCCUGUCAAAAUGUCCGUCUUUUAUUUGCCUCUGUCGUGCGUGGUUUUAUGUUUGUGAGGCUUUUUUCAUAAAAACAUUCAAUUAUUAUCAAUUAUAUAAGAAUCUGUUUUUCUAUUCAAAUUAAAACAAUAGGAGACUGAAUAAAAAAUAAUUGUAGCAGUAAGGGUCAUAUGCACUGCUUCAGGUAUUCAGACAGACAGUUAUAAACACCAUUCAUUCUAGUGGAAAAAGGCAGAGAUUUGCGAGUGUUAUUUUGCUUUGCACCUACAUAGUCGUAUCUGUCAAAGCACAAGAAAUAGGAGCUGUGGAGCCCAGCAGUUCAGCCACAGUUCAACUUUGUUCACCUUUAAUUACAGAAUUCACCUGAAAACACCUAAGGUAACAUACGCCAUCAUACCGGAAGUUUUUCAUUCACUAAACAAAAUAACAAAACCUGAGAUUUUGCGAGCAAAUUGAAAGACACAGAAGGGACGCUUCAAAAAAAUGGAAUUCCCGUCUCUUCUCAAAUACAGUUUCCUUCCUCUACUAAAUUAAAAGGACAGCUUCAAAACUACCAUCAAGCUGAAUUGAUAAAGCAAGUUAAUUUGUCUGAUUUUUAUUCCUUACCAGACAACUUUUGGUGAAAUACUAAAGACAAAUGAUUGCAUAAAUUGGUACACUAAAAACAUUUUCUGUAUUGCUGUUCCCUACUUUCUGCCAAAUAUAGUCAAACUGGCAAAGAAAAUAAGGUGUUUUGCUUUCUGUACUUAAGAUGUUAUCAUUCCUUUGUCUAAAUAGGGCACUCUGCCAAGGCUCAGAGGCAGUUCCAGAGUCUAACUUCAGACUAAGUUCCAGUGUUCUCUCCACCUUUAUCACCUUCUCUGUAAGAAAACAAGUAAGCAACCACAUGCCUGUAAAGCACUUCAAAGCACAUUAGCAAGAGCUACAUCAGUGCUUCAUAAUAUCAAAAAAUAUGUAUCUUCAGCAAAAAUAAAAUAAAGAAUGUAAUUUCUCUCACUGAAAUUAGAGCUGAAAGCAGUUUUGUUUAAAAGAUGCACACUGGGCCCAUACAACUCUGACUCUGCUCAUGAGAAUACAUAAGGCAAAGCACAAAGUUAAUGAGUUUUACCUUUAAUUUUAGAGAAUUGAGUUUUUCUUCUCUCAGGUGCUCUCGCAGCAUCUCCCGGUGAAGCCUCUCCUGCUCCAUCGCAAACUCUCCAAGCGUGUACUGGCGCACACUGUUGUGGCGCGUGGACAUUCCCAGCGUGCUUCCCCCUUGGCUGGGAACGCUGGUGAAGCCUUGCCUUCUUGUGAAGUAAUACACAGUGACACAGUUAAAAUGGACAUUUUUUGUUCUCUUCCGCUUCUCUCUCUUCAGGAUGGAAGAAGCUGGAACAGAUACAGUUUACAUUAAUGAUUACAUUAAUGAUAACUUGCAAUCACAGCGAAUUUGUCACUUGAGUACUUCUAUUUUCCUUAAUAUGUACACGCUACCAUUCAGAGAAGUGCAGUCUAAAUGAGGCGCUAAGAGUUGAGAAAAUUACCAAACCCUGAAGUCAUUACAAACUGCUACAAUCAUGAAUACUAUUCUGUACUUUAGAACAGAAAUUCUUGUCCAGAAUGGCUGUUUUCUAAUAGAAUUUUCAAAGUUUUAUUCUUUUUACUAAGGAAGCAAAGCAAACACAUCCCAGAAAAGUAAAUUUCUUUUUACACUGCCGCCUCAAAGAGACCGAUCUAUCAACUGGCACUUCCUUAAACCCCAGCACACAAAAUAGACACUGCAUAUGACAGCAGUCAGGAUAGCAGCAGGCCAACAGCUCUCACAGAGCUGUAUGCACCACUGGAAUGCAAAGCUCCAGCAGAGAUUUGCUAGCCCAUCUUUAAAGCACUGGAUCACAUCUGCAGAAAAGAUUUCUAUCUUUUAUACUUUUAACACGUGUGAAAUUCGUGUUAGAUAAACUACAAAGGCAGUAUUGUUUGUGUUUCAGACUCUCAGAAAUUUCUAUUAUCAUAAAAUCAGGUCCUUUCUAGAAUCAUAGAAGCACAGAAUGGAACUGGGUGAUCUUUAUGGUCCCUGCCAGUCCCCUUCCACGGGCAGGGUUGUCACCCACAAUCAGGCUGUCCAGGGCCCCAUCCAGGCCAGGCAAGAAGUCCCAGUGCUUAUCACCCUCUGAAUAAAGAAUUUUACCCUAACAUCUAACCUGUAUCUCCCUUCUUCAAGGUUAAAACUAUCACUUUGGUCCUAUCACUAUCUAUCCAUGUAGAAUAAUUUUCUGAUUCCCCUCACGCUCCUGCUGAGUUUUUCUUAUACAAACAUGCAGUUUCAUGUGAAAAGGAUUUAUUUAAAAAUACAUGCCCAAUUUUAACAGCACUUUUAUCUCCUUUCAGCGAUAUCAAUCUAUCAUUUCUUACUGGUAACAGUGGUGAGUCUAAAGUAAGAGAUACAGAGUAGGAGUGGUGAGUCUAUAUUGCAAAGUAAGAGAUACAGAGUAGGAGACGCUCCUUGAUUUUUAAGACUAACCAGCAGUCUGAUUCAUUUGAUUUAUUGCAAAAUGACAACAGGUUGUCAAGAAAGUAGAUAAUAAGUUAUUGCUUUGAAGUUCAGAGGCAACAACUGGGUAAGCACAAAUGAGCGACUGAGUUGCUGGAACUCAAGCAGUAUUUAAAAGGUGCCCCAUCAUUCCUGAAAGACUUGGAACCAUUCCAUUAAUGCUGUAAGAACAACACGAUGUAUGUUGUUCAUCUUAGACUGCACUGUCUCUGGAGGCUAGGAGCACUUGGUCUUCAGCCUUGGUUUUGUAAUAGGUUCGGUUUAUUGUCACAGUUAAAACACAAUUCAUUCAUUCUUCAAUUAUUAAGUACCAAAACGUUAAUCAUCAGAAGUGUGAAAACCUCAAACUUCUAUAUUAAAAAAUAAAAUGGGAUAGGCUAGCUAUAUGAGAAAAAAAGGUACAUAGGAAAAUAUUUUCUUGUAACUAAAUCACAGAUGAUAUGCCCUACUAACACAGUCAUAAAAAACAUUUUGGGUUCUGUAAAACAUUGAAAUAAAAUUAUUUUUAUAAAUACUGACAAGCAGCUAAAGGCAUGGUAAAUACCACACACUUCAGGCGUGCUGCAGGUUUGCUAAAUUGCAAGUGUAAAACAGAUAAAUAACCACAUUCACUUAUAGGUCCUCGGCAAAGGAUACUGCAGAAAGAUGUAGGAUGUAUACAGAAGAAUUAGAAGAAAUUCUGCUACAUUAGACAUGUUUAAAUUUACACGUUUAAGGACAUUCUUUAUCAACAGAGCCUGUCAAAAAUAUAUACAGGAGGUUUUACUAGGGAUAGAAGGCUAUUAAAAUAGAAUGGAAUAUUUGACAGGGUUAUUCCAAUUUUGCAUAAUAUGAAGACAUGCUGUAAUGUACUGAUUUUUUAUAUACGUCACAAUUUCAAAACAAAAUUUUUGCUAUUUAUAAGACCUAAAUUUUAAUAGAGCUUGGAAGAUAUUUUGGUAUCAUGACAUUCACUUUCCAUUUAGAGUGAAAGAAAAUAUUCCAUGAAUCAGAAAGUUCUUUGCCUAUUGCUUUUACACACAGGAAAGAGCACACUAAAAUAUCCUGCUCCUAGCAAAGGAGGUGUCUUAAUCGUCCUGGAUGUGCCCAGUUUCUGAUGGAGUACUAUUGAUCCUAUUUGAAUUUCAACCUCCCCCAAAGGGGUAGAAGCACUGACAGCUACUGAAGGACAAGCAGCACUUAUACUACAUAAAACAGCCAGCCACAAAUGAGAUGAGACAUAAAACUAUGGAAAAUGUCAAAGGAAAGAAAAUACAGAAGGUUAACUGUAUAUAUGUAGGUGUGUGUGUGUACUUCAUGAAGAACUACAAGGUAAUUGUGUCCACGUCCCACAAGCUUUGAAUCUCUACAAACUUCAGCAUCUACUACAUAACACUCAAAUGUAUAGCAAUUUUUUUAGACUCACCUAUGGAAUUCUUGACAUGGUUGCUUACUGGCAGAAGUACCAAAUGCUGGAAUAAAAGUGCUUCCAUUCUUCUGUCA